GCGCGACUGCCAGGAGAGAACCCCCGCGCCAUGAAAGUGGCACGCAGGGGGUCGCCGAAGGCGCAGGGCCCCACCGGCAACGGUGUGCUGGCCCGAACGCUCAGGCAAAAGGACUGGCAGACACGA
rnacentral:ncRNA from 2 species